rnacentral:rRNA from 1 species
UAGGGGAAUCUUCCACAAAUGGACGAAAGUCUGAUGGAGCAACGCCGCGUGAGUGAAGAAGGUUUUCGGAUCGUAAAGCUCUGUUGUUGGUGAAGAAGGAUAGAGGCAGUAACUGGUCUUUAUUGACGGUAAUCAACCAGAAAGUCACGGCUAACUACGUGCCAC